UACGUAGGGGGCAAGCGUUGUCCGGAUUUAUUGGGCGUAAAGAGCGUGUAGGCGGCCAGGUAGGUCCGUUGUGAAAACUCGAGGCUCAACCUCGAGACGUCGGCGGAAACCCUCUGGCUAGAGUCCGGAAGAGGAGAGUGGAAUUCCUGGUGUAGCGGUGAAAUGCGCAGAUAUCAGGAAGAACACCCGUGGCGAAGGCGGCUCUCCGGGACGGUACUGACGCUGAGACGCGAAAGCGUGGGGAGCAAACAGG
rnacentral:rRNA from 1 species